CUGCUGUUGAGGUGUUACAGGUCAUGCAAGGAUGCAACCUUUUGCAGAAAAUGCAGAGCUCAUCAAUGUUUAUCCACCACCGCUGGAGCGCAUUAAAGGUGUGAGACAAGCUCUAAUGGGGAAGCAGAGAACAGUGAAGUAAGCAUGCUCCUCUGCAAUCUGUGCGACUCAAAACUAAUGCCACAAUUUUGGGCAGAGUAGAUGUGAGAUGUGUGCCAGUACAAACUGGCAUCAAGUCCUCAUUUAAGCUUCCUCGAGUAACAGAGAGAAACUCUAUGAUUUAGCUGACUCGACAUGAUAGAUGUAUUCUUUCCUCUAUCUUGGAAAGGUAGUACAAGACAUUCCAGAUA